rnacentral:rRNA from 1 species
AUGACAGCGUCCAUGGCGACCUCGCGCUGGCGCACCCCGUCUAGGCCACCAUCAAGGAGGCCAAGUUCUGGGAUAAGAAGAAGAAGUUUGGGACCGAGGCCAUCUACGGAUCGACCUUCAACAUCCGCAGGGAUCUCGACACCCAGAUCCUCUCCAGGUUGGUUCUCUCACUGCCCCCUCCUGGAAAUAGGUUUUGUCUAA